rnacentral:rRNA from 1 species
UUUGAUCCUGGCUCAGGACGAACGCUGGCGGCGUGCUUAAUACAUGCAAGUCGAACGAAGCCUAGUCUUUAGUUUACUAUAGACGAAAGCUUAGUGGCGGACGGGUGAGUAACGCGUGGAGAAUCUGCCCUCAAGCCUGGGAUAACAGAGCGAAAGUUCUGCUAAUACCGGAUAUGCUCUGAGAGCCGCAUGGUUCAAAGAGGAAAGCGCAAGCGCUUGAGGAUGACUCCGCGUCCCAUUAGCUAGUUGGUGAGGUAACGGCUUACCAAGGCGACGAUGGGUAGCCGGCCUGAGAGGGUGACCGGCCACACUGGGACUGAGACACGGCCCAGACUCCUACGGGAGGCAGCAGUAGGGAAUUUUCCGCAAUGGGCGCAAGCCUGACGGAGCAACGCCGCGUGAAGGAAGAAGGCCUUCGGGUCGUAAACUUUUGUCUUUGGGGACGAUAAUGACGGUACCCGAGGAGGAAGCCCCGGCUAACUACGUGCCAGCAGCCGCGGUAAUACAUAGGGGGCGAGCGUUAUCCGGAAUUAUUGGGCGUAAAGCGUGCGUAGGUGGUCAGUUAAGUCUGGCGUGAAAUUCCCUGGCUUAACCAGGGGGGGUCGUUGGAAACUGGCUGACUUGAAUCCAGAAGGGGUAAGUGGAAUUCCAUGUGUAGCGGUAAAAUGCAUAGAGAUAUGGAGGAACACCAGUGGCGAAGGCGGCUUACUGGUCUGGGAUUGACACUGAGGCACGAAAGCGUGGGUAGCAAACAGGAUUAGAUACCCUGGUAGUCCACGCCGUAAACGUUGAGCACUAAGUGU